GACGAACGCUGGCGGCGUGCUUAACACAUGCAAGUCGAACGGUAAGGCCCUUCGGGGUACACGAGUGGCGAACGGGUGAGUAACACGUGGGUGAUCUGCCCUGCACUUCGGGAUAAGCCUGGGAAACUGGGUCUAAUACCGGAUAGGACUCCGGACUGCAUGGUCUGGGGUGGAAAGCUUUUGCGGUGUGGGAUGGGCCCGCGGCCUAUCAGCUUGUGGUUGGGGUGAUGGCCUACCAAGGCGACGACGGGUAGCCGGCCUGAGAGGGUGACCGGCCACACUGGGACUGAGAUACGGCCCAGACUCCUACGGGAGGCAGCAGUGGGGAAUAUCGCACAAUGGGUGCAAGCCUGAUGCAGCGACGCCGCGUGAGGGAUGACGGCCUUCGGGUUGUAAACCUCUUUCAGCAUCGACGAAGCGAAAGUGACGGUAGGUGCAGAAGAAGGACCGGCCAACUACGUGCCAGCAGCCGCCGUAA
rnacentral:rRNA from 1 species